AGGGCACUACCAGGAGUGGAUCCUGCGGCUCAAUUUGACUCAACACGGGAAAGCUCACCUGGUCCGGACACUGGAAGGAUUGACAGAUUAAGAGCUCUUUCUUGAUUCAGUGGGUGGUGGUGCAUGGCCGUUCUUAGUUGGUGGAGCGAUUUGCCUGGUUAAUUCCGAUAACGAGCGAGACUCUAGCCUACUAAAUAGGUGUUCCGAUCCCAUCAGUCGGACGCUCUUCUUAGAGGGACAAGCGGCGUUUAGCCGCACGAGACAGAGCAAUAACAGGUCUGUGAUGCCCUUAGAUGUCCGGGGCCGCACGCGCGCUACACUGAAGGAACCAGCGUGUGUCCCUGUCCGGCAGGACUGGGUAAUCCGUUGAACCUCCUUCGUGAUAGGGAUAGGGGCUUGUAAUUGUUCCCCUUGAACGAGGAAUUCCCAGUAAGCGUGAAUCAUCAGUUCACGUUGAUUACGUCCCUGGCCUUUGUACACACCGCCCGUCGCUACUACUGAUUGGAUGAUUUAGUGAGG
rnacentral:rRNA from 1 species